rnacentral:rRNA from 1 species
GAUGAACGCUGGCGGCGUGCCUAAUACAUGCAAGUCGAGCGAACAGACGAGGAGCUUGCUCCUCUGACGUUAGCGGCGGACGGGUGAGUAACACGUGGAUAACCUACCUAUAAGACUGGGAUAACCUCGGGAAACCGGAGCUAAUACCGGAUAAUAUAUUGAACCGCAUGGUUCAAUAGUGAAAGACGGUUUUGCUGUCACUUAUAGAUGGAUCCGCGCCGCAUUAGCUAGUUGGUAAGGUAACGGCUUACCAAGGCAACGAUGCGUAGCCGACCUGAGAGGGUGAUCGGCCACACUGGAACUGAGACACGGUCCAGACUCCUACGGGAGGCAGCAGUAGGGAAUCUUCCGCAAUGGGCGAAAGCUUGACGGAGCCACGCCGCGUGAGUGAUGAAGGUCUUCGGAUCGUAAAACUCUGUUAUUAGGGAAGAACAAAUGUGUAAGUAACUAUGCACGUCUUGACGGUACCUAAUCAGAAAGCCACGGCUAACUACGUG